UCUCAGCGGGGGAGCAACUGGAAACCACAAACACCCAAACUGGGUAGCAGCCACUCGAACUAAACCAGGAGACCUGGCUUAGGGAAAGGAGUUAAGUUUAGACGGAAUGGAUUAAUCAAGAUAUCAGAAGAGACCUAUUAAAAGACAGAAAAAGGUGAAACCAGAAGGUGUCUUCCCAUCUCUAUUUAAAGAAGUCAUGUGCUAGGCUGCAGAGAAAUGCCUGUGUAUGCAGUGAGUCUUCAAAUUUAUAAGUAUAUCAAGAGGCCUCCAAUAUCAUGCAUCUAAUUACAAUGGUAAACUUCCCAGUAAAUAUACACAUUCACCAGUGCCAUGCCAAACAUCUCUUCCUUCCACAAGUAGCAGGUGUACCAUCUUGCUCAGACCUUGGGCACUGAUGAUCAGGUGUUGUUGGCUACUUCAUUCAGUGAGGAGCUUCUUACCUUCCCAACUAAGCUGCUAGUUUUUUGAAGAAAGGCUCUGGUCGUCUUAUAGAUCCUUGUAGUCCUCUGAGUGGUCUGAAGACUGAGCUACUUGAGCUGCAAUUCUGGCUCUACCAUUUGCUGGCUAUUUGAUCUUAGCAAGUUACUGGAUGCUCUGGAGCCUGUUACCUCAUCUGCCAAAGAGAAACAAUAACAAGAUGUGCCUCCACAGAGUUGUCAAGAGCACUAAAUGAGGCACUCAGCAUGUGGCACACAGGUACAUACACAGAGCCUUGGCACAUGAUUAAACUCUCCAACAAUG